UACGAAGGGGGCUAGCGUUGCUCGGAAUCACUGGGCGUAAAGCGCACGUAGGCGGAUCUUUAAGUCAGGGGUGAAAUCCUGGAGCUCAACUCCAGAACUGCCUUGAUACUGGGAUCUCGAGUCCGGAAGAGGUGAGUGGAACUCCGAGUGUAGAGGUGAAAUUCGUAGAUAUUCGGAAGAACACCAGUGGCGAAGGCGGGUCUCUGGGCCGAUACUGACGCUGAGGAGCGAAAGCGUGGGGAGCGAACGAG
rnacentral:rRNA from 1 species